CGGGGUGUAGCGCAGCUUGGUAGCGCAUCUGGUUUGGGACCAGAGGGUCGCAGGUUCAAAUCCUGUCACCCCGACCA
rnacentral:tRNA from 2 species